rnacentral:lncRNA from 1 species
UCAACAUGAAAAUUCUCCCCUGUUCCUGUUCCCUUUUUUUUUCUUUUUAUUUUCGGAAACAGGGCCUCCCCUGUUUCUCUCCUCCUCUAUUUUUUUCUUUGUUUUCAAAUGAAAGCCCCCCCUUUUCUUCCCAGCCGAGAGGUCCCUCCUAUAUCUCCCGAUGGAUCCCCUAAUCAUGCGGGAUGCUGACUCCAGAAGGAUCGUGAUCACGGGAGCUGGGAAAUCGGGAGAGCUGGCUCACGGACGCUGGGAGGUGCUUGCGAACGGCUGGAUGAACGCGUGGACGGCUGGAUGGUAUGAAUUCGGAAACUGGCUGCAGGAUGAGAUUCGGACGAGAUGUGCGUUCGUGAGGAACAUCCUAGCCAGCUGCGAGAUACCCGGACGCGGAUCACCGGGAUGCGGA